GACAGAGGGUGCAAACGUGUUCGGAAUUACUGGGCGUAAAGCGCGUGUAGGCUGCUUCGAAAGUCGGAUGUGAAAGCCCUGGGCUCAACCUAGGAAGUGCAUUCGAAACUUCGAAGCUUGAGUUCUGGAGAGGAAGGCGGAAUUCUCGGUGUAGAGGUGAAAUUCGUUAGAUAUCGAGAGGAACACCGGUGGCGAAGGCGGCCUUCUGGACAGUGACUGACGCUGAGGCACGGAAGGCCAGGGGAGCAAACGGGAUAGAAUACC
rnacentral:rRNA from 1 species